CCUUUUCUUCUUCUUCUUCUUCGUCUUCUUCUC
rnacentral:sRNA from 1 species